rnacentral:rRNA from 1 species
AUUGAACGCUGGCGGCAGGCCUAACACAUGCAAGUCGAGCGAGCGGCGGACGGGUGAGUAAUGUAUGGGGACUGCCCGAUAGAGGGGGAUAACACCUGGAAACGGUAGCUAAUACCGCAUCCUAUCGGAUAACCCAUAUGGGAUUAGCUAGUAGGUGAGGUAAUGGCUCACCUGGGCGACGCUCCCUAGCUGGUCUGAGAGGAUGAUCAGCCAAACUGGGACUGGGACAAGGCCCAGACUCCGACGGAGGCAGCAGUGGGGAGUAUUGCACAAUGGGCGCAAGCCUGAGGCAGCCAGGCCGCGUGUAUGAAGAAGGCCCUAGGGUUGUAAAGUACGUUCAGUCGGGAGGCGUUACCGGCAGAAGAAGCACCGGCUAACUCCGUGCCAGCAGCCGCGGUAAUUC